AUGGCCCAAGCCAUUGUCCAAAGCUCAUGCAGAAAGCUCAGAGCCGCCUUCGCCGUUGGAGACAAGGCCACCAGCUAUUUGCAGGAAAUAAUGGAGACGCUGGAGGUCAUAAACCCGCUGCUGGAGGACGCCGAGAGGCGAUGUCUUCGUUUUAGGCGUGAUGUCCCCAAAGAGAAAUCGGAAGAAAUGGAAACUACGCCGGAAGCCAUACAGCCGCUGCUGGAGGAUACCCCCCAGCAAAUGGAGGAGAAGAAGGUGCGGGACUGGCUGCGGCUGGUCGUGAAGGCCGCCUACAACAUCUUGGACGAGUUGCAAGACACAAUGACACCACCUGCACCCGCGCGAAAGUUCAUGAAGAUGAUGCCGCAUGCCAAAGUCCUCAAGAAGAAGAAUCUCAUGGCCGAUAAGAUGGAGAAGAUAAAAGAAGAAGUCUACAAGCUAUGGGUCGACAUGGAUGAAUUUAAUCUUAUGUCACCUAAUUCCGAUGCAACGAUCGAGCCACCACUUAUUUAUGUAACAGAGGACCCAACGAUUGGAAGGGAUAAACAAAUACAGAUCAUAAUGGAAAGUAUAUCUGUGAAAAAAGGGCACCACAUUACAGUUCAAAUUGGUGGGUGCCAGGAUGGCAGCAAGACAAGAUUAGCACAAAUGGUUUUCAACCAUACCCGACUCAAAGACUACUCUAGGGUAUGGAUCCAAUGCUCCAGAAAUCUUCACUUGCAUCAGAUAGGGAAGUCCAUAAUUUCUCAGGUGUCAGGGGAAGAGAUCAACGGUGGUUCCGAUGACAACAUGGAGUAUGUGAGCAAGCGCCUUCACCAAUUACUUGAUGAUGGUAUUAAGGUACUUGUUGUUUUAGAUGGCAUAUGGCUAUCACGGCAUGAUUGCGAAGAGUUGCAGGGUAUGUUAAGGGAAGGGAGCGAUCGUGGUGAGGUAAUCUUGAUAGCGACGGACACUGGAGAAAUGUAUUUUCGGAGUUGUAGUGAAUCGAGUGAGGACAUGUGCUGGACAAUAAUCAAGCAACGAAGUCACUUUGAAGGUAGAUUGUUUGACAAACAAGAGUUGGAGCUGAUUGGUGUAGAUAUUGCAAAAAAGUGUGAGGGUUCACAGUUGGUAGCUGAAAUGCUUGGUGGCGUGCUUCUCUACAAAGAUGCUACAGGAUGGGCAGAAGUAUUGAACAGUGAUAUAUGGGAAGAUGGCCAAAACGGUGAGCCAUUCCUCAUGUUAGCAUACACUAGUAUGCCGCCGAGCUUACGGCUAUGCUUUACUUACUUUGCGAUGUUCCAAAAUGGUCACACUAUAGCCAAAGAUGAUCUGAUUUAUCAAUGGACUUCUCUCGGUCUUAUUGAGCAAUCCGACAGAUUCUCUGCGAUACACCUUGGUGAGCAGUAUAUUUCAAUGCUUCUGGGCAUGUCCCUUCUUCAAACAACAAUGCCGGUUUCGACUACUGGAAGUGCUGAUAAGAGUACAACCUGGUUCACUGUAAACCAUAUGGUGCAUGACCUUGCAAAACAAGUUAUGCGUGACAUAUAUGAUACAGAGGAGACGUCUUAUCAGCAGGAAUUAUGCUCUAAUAAGGACUGCCGCUAUGUACUGCUUACCGAUUUGAAGUUAUCCAGUAAAUUGUCUGCCCAAAUAAGGGCUCUACGUUGUGUUGGCUCUGGCAAAAUGGACCUCAGCGAUGAUUCAUUUUCAUUUUCCAAGUGCUUGAGUGUCUUGGAUUUAAAUGGCACCUCGAUGCUGAACUUACCAAAUUCUAUCUGUCAGUUGAGGCAUUUGGGAUAUCUUAAUUUAUCAGGCUGCUCUGGACUACUCAAUCUACCGGAUUCACUUGGAGAUCUACUAAAUCUGUUGUAUAUUGAUUUAUCAGGCUGCUGCGGACUAAGAAAUCUACCUGAAUCAUUUGGGAAGCUAAUAAAUUUGGCGCAUAUUGACUUAUCGGGUUGCUCUCAACUAGUAAAUCUAUCGGAAUCAUUUGGGAAGCUCAGAAAUUUGUUGCAUAUUGACUUAUCAAGAUGCUCUGGACUUGUAAAUUUGCCAGAUUCAUUUAGGAAGCUGACUAGUUUGAAGCAUAUCGAUUUAUCAGGCUGCUUUGGAUUAGAAAAACUGCCGCAAUCAUUCGGGAAGCUAAUAAAUUUGGUGCACAUCAACUUAUCACAGUGCUCUGUAAUAGUUAGUCUAUCUCCGUCUUUUGGGAAGCUAAUGUAUUUGCUGCGUAUCAACCUAUCAGACUGCUCUGGAUUGGUAAACUUACCAGAAUCAUUUGGGAAUCUCACAAAUUUGGUGCAUAUCAAUUUUUCAGGCUGCUGUGGGCUAUUAAAUCUGCCUGAGUCAUUCGGAAAUCUAAUAAAUUUGUUGCACAUUGAUUUAUCAUGUUGCCAUGGACUAGGUAAACUGCCGGAAUCAUUUGGCAAGCUGAAAAAUUUGGUACACCUAGAUUUAUCAUUCUGGUCUUGUUUUGAAGGGGUCGAGAAAGCUCUUGGUGGCCUUACCAAUCUCCAGCACUUGAACUUGUCACACCCUUGCUGUUAUCUUGCUCAACAGCAGUCCUGUCUCGAAGGACUAAAAGAUGUUCUGGGCCAGCUCACCAAAAUAGAGUAUUUGAACCUAUCCAUGUUCCUGAAUCCUAUCUUUUACUCAGAGUCAGUAGAGCGAACUCAUGGAAUUAUUGAAUGUAUCAGUGGCUUUUCCAGUCUGGAACAUUUGGAUUUGUCUCAUAAUAGAUUUCUACAUGAUCUACCUGAAAGUUUAGGUGAACUCAACAAUCUGCAAACACUGGACCUCUCAGGCUGCAUUAGACUGAAGAGCAUAGCCAAAAGGAUAGGUGAAAUCAGGUCUCUCCAGUCGAUAAAUGUGAGGAACUGCCGCAGUUUGAAAAGUUGUGAGCUUGUGGUUAAACCUGAUAACGGAGAAGCAUAUAGUAACACAAACAUUGUUGAGCUCGAGAAUGCAAACUUGGAAGAGCUUGAGAUAAGCUGUCUUGAAAACGUGAAAUCUACUGAAGAUGCAAGGCAAAUACGUAUGGCACUGAUAGGAGUUGCUCAGAAGUGGAAACUUUGUUGGACUGCGGGCUCCCAAGGAUCCAUGGACGUCAAUGCUCUGUUAGGAGAAUUAGUGCCACUUCUGCAGGGCCUUGAGCUACAUGGUUACAAUGGCGAGACCUGCCUUUCAACCUGGUUGACAUCAACCAUAACUUAUUAUUUUGAUACUCUUGUAGAGGUUACUAUUGAGGCCAUCUCGAGGUGCAGCCGCCCACCACCACUGUUUUUGUUACUAAGCCUGCGGCGGGCAGUUUUUAGAAGGAUGGCUAGCAUCACAAGAUUCGAUGUCAAUGACCUAACUGAUGGAAACCGAGAAGCGCUCCAUCGACUCCCCAGGUUCACACUAGAGUUGGAUGAUAUGGAAAGCCUGGAAGAGUUCAAGACAACAUACGACAGAAAUGGAAAGGAGUGUAUGCUCCCGGCCAUUGGUGAACUGGUGAUUACGAAAUGUAACAAGGUGUGCUUCGUACCUUUCACGCCUAGAGCUCGGAAAUUGGUGAUCUCGGAGUGCAGCAAACUAAUGGUUCAUUCCAGAGGAGGGCACCCUCGUACCUCUGUUUCAGUAAAUGAACUAGUGGUGAAGAACUGCAAGAAAACUCUAUAUAACUGGCAUUUGCUUCACAGCCUCCCAGGCCUCCGUAGUUUAACUGUCAAAGAUUGCGACAAUCUGUGGACUAUACCAGAUACUAUUGAGGCCCUAUCCUCCCUCCAAUCUCUAUGCUUGUCCAAUUGCCGGGUGGACAAAGUACAACACUUGUCUGACCUCACCUGUCUCCGGGAAGUGAAGAUUGUGUCCUGCGAAGGGAUCGAUGAGUUCAUGCAGAGUUUGCAAAGACUCACCUCCCUUGGGUCGAUGCAUCUUAGUGACUGCGACAGUAUCACAUCACUGCCGGAAUUGUUAGGAGAUCUCACCAAUCUUGAGAAGCUUGCCAUCCACAGAUGCCCUGCCAUGGACUCUUUGCCGGGCAGCAUAAAUAAACUAACCAACCUGAAGGAUCUGCGUAUUUUGGAUUGUCCAAAAUUGAAGAGCUGGUGUGAAAGGAGGGAGAACAAGAAAAAAAUGGCUCACAUCCGACCAGACUAUGAAGAACAUGCUACUAGCAGGCCAGGCAGCAAGGACGAGGGAGAUGUGGAGGGUGAAUUGGAGGACUGGUCGGACGGCAUGGAGGAGGAGGAUGAGCCAGAGGCAGUAUCGACGGAUGCAGUGGAGAAUUCAGUGAUGACAGACGACACAAAUGUUGUAGAGGAGGUGACGAGGGAUGUGGACGCAGCAGUGGCAGCUGAUGUAUGCUUGGAGCUGCGCUUGGGACUGCCCAUAAAUGAAGAAGCCAUCCGAAUCGAAGAAGAACAAGAUGAAAUUUCUCUACGACUGUAUUUAUAA
rnacentral:rRNA from 1 species